ACGGGGUGCAGCAGGCGCGAAACCUUUGCAAUGUGCGCAGGCACGACAAGGUUAAUCCGAGUGUUUCCUGCUAAAGGAAUCUUUUGUUAGUCGUAAAACCACUGAUGAAUAAGGGGUGGGCAAGUUCUGGUGUCAGCCGCCGCGGUAAAACCAGCACCUCAAGUGGUCAGGAGGAUUAUCGGGCCUAAAGCAUCCGUAGCCGGCUCUGUAAGUUUUCGGUUAAAUCCAUUUGCUUAACAAAUGGGCUGCCGAAAAUACUACAUAGCUAGGGAGUGGGAGAGGUAGACGGUAUUCGGUAGGAAGGGGUAAAAUCCUUUGAUCUAUUGAGGACCACCUAUGGCGAAGGCAGUCUACCAGAACACGUUCGACGGUGAGGGAUGAAAGCUGGGGGAGCAAACCGGAUUAGAUACCCGGGUAGUCCCAGCUGUAAACGAUGCAGACUCGGUGAUGCGCUGGCUUGUGGCCAGUGCAGUGCCGCAGGGAAGCCGUUAAGUUUGCCGCCUGGGAAGUACGUACGCAAGUAUGAAACUUAAAGGAAUUGGCGGGGGAGCAC
rnacentral:rRNA from 2 species